rnacentral:tRNA from 1 species
GCGGGAAUAGCUCAGUUGGUAGAGCAUCAGCCUUCCAAGCUGAGGGUUGCGAGUUCGAGUCUCGUUUCCCGCUCCA